CUGACCUGGGAGAAACAGUGCCGAAAAUGAUACGCAAGCUGUUUACAAACAAGAUUAUGUCGCGCUACAACAUGAAGGCCAGAAAUGGAAAGCUGAGGUUCCAUUAAAGAAACAACCAAAUGGAACCACAAGGUGACCAGGACAGAGGUGGAGUUGAAAGUAGGGGAGACUCUGAAACUGGCACCACAUCGAGAGAAACAAAAUCAGGUAUGCAGCCAUGACGCCUCCUUCACUUUCCUUCCAUUUAGGAAAGGCUGAACAAGUCCAAGGAAAGGGCAGAAGAUGAGGUGGCCAGCGGACUAAUGAUGAAUUGAUUUAAAAUUAUAUAUAUAUACAUAUAUAAAGAUCAUAAAUAAAGAACAUGUUGAUGAAAAUGAA